ACCUGAAAUCAAGCAAGAACACCCGCUGAACUUAAGCAUAUCAGUAAGCGGAGGAAAAGAAACUAACUAGGAUUGCCCCAGUAGCGGCGAGUGAACAGGCAAAAGCUCAAGUUGAAAAUCCUUGGCACAAAGUUAAGGAAUUGUAAUCUAGAGAGGAUGUUCGGAGGGGAUGGUCGUAGCAUAAGUUCCUUGGAACAGGACGUCAUAGAGGGUGAAAACCCCGUAGUCGGCUACUACCGGAUCUAACGAGUGUUUUCGAAGAGUCGGGUUGUUUGGGAUUGCAGCCCUAAAUGGGAGAUAAACUUCUUCUAAAGCUAAAUAUUUAUGGGAAACCGAUAGCGAACAAGUACUGCGAAGGAAAGGUGAAAAGAACUUUGAAAAGAGGGUUAAAAGACUUGAAAUCGUUGAGAAGGAAGUGGUUAAAGAGUAAUCAUUUGUAUACGAUAAAUGUUUCGCUUCCCUGGCUUUGGCACGCUUUAGUACUUCAUAGGCUGUGUGUGUCAAACGUUAGGUAGCUAGGCUGUCUUCGUGUGCAAGAGGCAACAUGAAGUUUAGAAUCGGGAAUAAAUUAGUAGAACGACCCAGCAAUGGAGUCUAUUAAUGAAACCGGCACUGAGCUUGAGGGGCCUGAGGGCGAUGUUGUCAAAAUGGCUUUAACUGUCCCGUCUUGUAACACGGUCCAUGGAGUGUAACCUACGCGCAAGUGUUAGGGUGGAAAAACCCGAACGCAUAAGGAAACUAAGGAUAAGUUGUUUACAGCAACAGCGGACCUAGCGUCUCUGACAAAGGGCUCCAGCAAGAGCGAGUAUGUUACGACCCGAAAGAUGAUGAACUUUACUUGAGUAGGGUGAAGCCAGGGGAAACUCUGGUGGAAGCUCGCAAGAUCUUCUGACGUGCAAAUCGAUUUCCAAACUUGAGUAAAGGGGCGAAAGACUAAUCGAAUCAUCUAGUAGCUGGUUCCCUCUGAAGUUUCUCUCAGGAUAGCUGGAACAAACCAAGCAGUUUUAUUAGGUAAAGCGAAUGAUUAGAGGAAUCGGAGCUCAAAGAGUUUUGACCUAUUCUCAAACUUUAAAUUGGUAAGAACCGGGGGUUAACUUAAUUGAACCUCUGGGCAGAAUGCUUGUUCCAAGUGGGCCAUUUUUGGUAAGCAGAACUGGCGAUGAGGGAUGAACCUAACGCUUAGAUAAGGUUCCUAAGUAUGCAUUCAUGAGAUCCCACAAAAGGUGUUGGUUCAUUAACACAGCAGGACAGUGGCCCUGGAAGUCGGAAUCUGCUAAGUAGUGUGUAACAACUAACCUGCCGAAUGAACUAGCCCUGAAAAUUUACGGAGCUGAAGUGCAUCACCGAUACUAAGCCAUUACAGCAAAUUUGAGGCUGUGAUGAGUAAGAGGGCGUGUCCGUCUUGUGUAGAAGCCUUUAGUGUGAACUUGGGUGGAACGGCGGAUAGUGCAGAUCUUGGAGGUAGUAGCAAAUAUACAUGUGAGAACCAUGUAGAUCGAAGUGGGGAAGGGUUUCUUGUGAACAGCAAUUGGACAAGAGUUACUCGAUCCUAAGGCAUAGGGCAAGUCCUUGGAAUGCAAAACAGCGUACGCUGUUGCUGCCAAAAGGGAAACAGGUUAAUAUUCCUGUAGUCGACCUCGGGUAAUGUGGCAACACAAAUGAGCCUGCAGACCUCAGCAUGAACCACUGGAAGAGUUGUCUUUUCUUUUUAACUGCUUAUGGCCCUGAAAUUGGAUUAUCCAGAGAAAGGGCUGUAAGGCAGGCAGAGCAGCUCACCCUAUGAGCUGUCAGUUGAGUUCUUGAUGAGCCUUGAAAAUGCAGGGGAGAUUUUUAUUUCGAGUCGAAUCGUACCCAUAACCGCAUCAGGUCUCCUAGGUUAACAGCCUCUGAUCAAUAGAAGAAUGUAGAUAAGGGAAGUCGGCAAAAUAGAUCCGUAACUUCGGGACAAGGAUUGGCUCUGAGGAUUGGGUGUAGGGGCCCUUCAAUGAACGUCACCAUAAGUGUCCUGCGUGCUUUUCGGAGUGUGCUAGCGCUAGUGGGGGCUGGAUUUGUUGGGACGUCUUCAUCGGCUCUCCCUACACAAGGAACAAUCAACUCAGAACUGAAGCGGACAAGGGGAAUCCGACAGUUUAAUAAAAACCAAGCAUUGUGAUGUCGGGAAACCGAGUUGACACAAUGUGAUUUCUGCUCAGUGCUUUGAAUGUCAAAGUGAAGAAAUUCAAAUAAGCGCAAGUCAACAGCGGGAGUAACUAUGACUCUCUUAAGGUAGCCAAAUGCCUCGUCAUCUAACUAGUGACGCGCAUGAAUGGAUCAAUGAGAUUCCCACUGUCCCUAUCUACUAUCUAGCGAACCCACAGCCAAGGGAACGGGCUUGGAAUAAAAAGCGGGGAAAGAAGACCCUGUUGAGCUUGACUCUAAUCUGACUUUGUGAAAUGACAUACAAGGUAUAGCCUAGGUGGGAGAGAAAUCGACCCUGUAAAACCACUACUUGUACUGUCAUUUUACUUAUUCCAUUAUGAAUAGGCUAAUUUAUUAGUUCUAGCUCUAAGGUUGGAUUUCAUCUGAUCGAUAUUUGUGGAAGACAGGGUCAGGAGGGGAGUUUGGCUGGGGCGGUACAUCUGUUAAACAGUAACGCAGGUGUCCUACGGUGAGCUCAAAGAGAACGGAAAUCUCUUGUCGACCAAAAGGGGAAAAGCUCACUUGAUUUGGAUUCUCAGUACUAAUACAAACCGUGAAAGCGUGGCCUAUCGAUCCUUUAACUUUACAAGUUUUAAGCUAGAGGUGUCAGAAAAGUUACCACAGGGAUAACUGGCUUGUGGCAGCCAAGCGAUCAUAGCGACGUUGCUUUUUGAUCCUUCGAUGUCGGCUCUUCCUAUCAUUGUGAAGCAGAAUUCACAACGUGUCGGAUUGUUCACCCGCUAAUAGGGAACGUGAGCUGGGUUUAGACCGUCGUGAGACAGGUUAGUUUUACCCUACUUUUAAACUGAUGUUGCGACAGUAAUUCAACUUAGUACGAGAGGAACCGUUGAAUCAGAUACUUGGUAAAUACGGUUGUCUGAAAAGACAAUGCCGUGAAGCUACCAUCUGUAGGAUUAUGACUGAACGCCUCUAAGUCAGAAUCCAUGCUGGAAAGCAACGUCCAAUCAAUAAUAAACGAAAAACAUUAAGGCCUAGCCUGAAGUUCACAUGAUGGGGAAAUCGGGCUCUCGCAACAGAGAAGUCCCUAUUCCUCGAAUCGUAAUUUCGAAUUAUUAUUGACACAAAUCCUUUGUAGACGACUUAAUUUAAGACCUGGUAUUGUACGUGUGAGAGUAGGAUUAACCUACGAUCCACUGAGAUUCAUCCAGCUUCU
rnacentral:rRNA from 1 species